rnacentral:rRNA from 1 species
UACAGAGGGCCCGAGCGUUGUUCGGAUUUAUUGGGCGUAAAGGGUGCGUAGGCGGCGGAGUAAGUUGGGUGUGAAAUCCCGGGGCUCAACCUCGGAAUUGCAUUCAAUACUGGUUCGCUCGAGUACUGGAGAGGAGGCUGGAAUUUACGGUGUAGCAGUGAAAUGCGUAGAUAUCGUGAGGAAGACCAGUUGCGAAGGCGGAUCUCUGGGCAGUUCCUGACACUGAGGCACGAAGGCCAGGGGAGCAAACGGG